rnacentral:rRNA from 1 species
CGAACGGAGAAUUGCUAGCUUGCUAAUAAUUCUCUAGUGGCGCACGGGUGAGUAACACGUGAGUACCUGCCCCCAAGAGUGGGAUAGCCCCGGGAAACUGGGAUUAAUACCGCAUAAAGCAAUAAAGCAGCAAUGCGCUUGGGGAUGGGCUCGCGUCCUAUUAGUUAGUUGGUGAGGUAACGGCUCACCAAGGCGAUGACGGGUAGCCGGUCUGAGAGGAUGUCCGGCCACACUGGAACUGAGACACGGUCCAGACACCUACGGGUGGCAGCAGUCGAGAAUCAUUCACAAUGGGGGAAACCCUGAUGGUGCGACGCCGCGUGGGGGAUAAGGUCUUCGGAUUGUAAACCCCUGUCAUGUGGGACAUUAAAAGAUAGUACCACAAGAGGAAGAGACGGCUAACUCCGUGCCAGCAGCCGCGGUAAUACAGAGGUCUCAAGCGUUGUUCGGAAUCACUGGGCGUAAAGCGUGCGUAGGCGGUUUCGUAAGUCGUGUGUGAAAGGCGGGGGCUCAACCCCCGGACUGCACAUGAUACUGCGAGACUAGAGUAAUGGAGGGGGAACCGGAAUUCUCGGUGUAGCAGUGAAAUGCGUAGAUAUCGAGAGGAACACUCGUGGCGAAGGCGGGUUCCUGGACAUUAACUGACGCUGAGGCACGAAGGCCAGGGGAGCGAAAG